rnacentral:rRNA from 1 species
UACGAAGGGGGCUAGCGUUGCUCGGAAUCACUGGGCGUAAAGCGCACGUUAGGCGGACUUUUAAGUCGGAGGUGAAAUCCUGGAGCUCAACUCCAGAACUGCCUUCGAUACUGAGAGUCUUCGAGUUCGGGAGAGGUGAGUGGAACUGCGAGUGUAGAGGUGAAAUUCGUAGAUAUUCGCAAGAACACCAGUGGCGAAGGCGGCUCACUGGCCCGAUACUGACGCUGAGGUGGCGAAAAGCGUGGGGAGCAAACAGGG